UAAGGAUGCUAGAUUUCGGCAUACCCUGCAGUAGCCUCGGCGAUAUGGGAUUUCGGCAUACCUUCUAAGGAUAUGGGAUUUCGGCAUACCUUGUAGCUAGCCACUGUUUGUGAUGGCUAUAUGAAAAAGCAGUAUGUGGCCCUUUAGCUGCAGUACUAGUAUAGUCGAGAAAUCCGGGUAACGCGGAGCGUAGAACAAUCUAGAGGAAACGUAUAAGCCUACUGAGUAAGACGGAUCAGCAAGUCUGUAAGUCAAAAUGUGCUUCAAAAUUCCCCUGAACCAAAAUUUUCGCCAUCAAUAUGCGUUUUGAAUCUUUUUAGGUUGAUCUAUGUUUAUGACGAAAAAACUCGGAUGUUCCUUCAGUUCGAAAUUUAGUUGACUCGAGAAUCCCGGAUAACGGAUAAGGUU